rnacentral:rRNA from 1 species
AUUGAACGCUGGCGGCAGGCCUAACACAUGCAAGUCGAGCGGAUGAAGGGAGCUUGCUCCUGGAUUCAGCGGCGGACGGGUGAGUAAUGCCUAGGAAUCUGCCCGGUAGUGGGGGAUAACGUCCGGACACGGGCGCUAAUACCGCAUACGUCCUGAGGGUGAAAGUGGGGGAUCUUCGGACCUCACGCUAUCAGAUGAGCCUAGGUCGGAUUAGCUAGUUGGUGGGGUAAAGGCCUACCAAGGCGACGAUCCGUAACUGGUCUGAGAGGAUGAUCAGUCACACUGGAACUGAGACACGGUCCAGACUCCUACGGGAGGCAGCAGUGGGGAAUAUUGGGCAAUGGGCGAAAGCCUGAUCCAGCCAUGCCGCGUGUGUGAAGAAGGUCUUCGGAUUGUAAAGCACUUUAAGUUGGGAGGAAGGGCAGUAAGUUAAUACCUUGCUGUUUUGACGUUACCAACAGAAUAAGCACCGGCUAACUUCGUG